AUUGAACGCUGGCGGCAGGCCUAACACAUGCAAGUCGAGCGGGGUUUUCGGACCUAGCGGCGGACGGGUGAGCAAUGCGUAGGAAGCUACCCGAUAGAGGGGGAUACCAGUUGGAAACGACUGUUAAUACCGCAUAAUGUCUACGGACCAAAGUGUGGGCCCUUCGGGCCACAUGCUAUCGGAUGCGCCUACGUGGGAUUAGCUAGUUGGUGAGGUAAUGGCUCACCAAGGCGACGAUCUCUAGCUGGUUUGAGAGGAUGAUCAGCCACACUGGAACUGAGACACGGUCCAGACGCCUACGGGAGGCAGCAGUGGGGAAUAUUGGACAAUGGGCGCAAGCCUGAUCCAGCCAUGCCGCGUGUGUGAAGAAGGCCUUCGGGUUGUAAAGCACUUUCAGUAGGGAGGAAGGGUUAAGUGUUAAUAGUACUUAACUUUGACGUUACCUACAGAAGAAGCACCGGCUAACUCUGUGCCAGCCGCCGCUGUAA
rnacentral:rRNA from 1 species